AUAAUAAUAAUAAUAAUAAUAAUAAUAAUACUUGCCAGUAAGUUUGGAUUAAAUUAUCCACAUCUCCAUGGCGUUUUCUACUGAUUUCUAGAUUUGUACAGAGCAAUCCCUUUAGAGAAAUUGUAUAAUUAAUAUUUUCUCUUCAAAUCGAGCUGUUACACCAUGACUGACUGUGCCAGCUAUUUGAAGAUUUUCUCCUCUGCCUGGCUGAAUUACAUUCAGCAGAUGGACUUGAAAGACCACUAGAGUUCUGUAUCUCUCAGAAAAAUAUUGUCAUUCCAGAAACAAUAAUUUAUGAAAAGAAUAUAGAAAUUUUAAAUUAUAUCUCCAAGAAAUAACACUUUCAGAGAUCUGUAUUAACUCUGAAUCAGCUAAAAUACUUUCAUCAGCAAUAAAUAGUUCAGUGUGAGCAGAAGCACCAUUAACAAAGCCUCAUUGCUUCUUACAUUUAUCUCUUUGCAGGACUGUGCAUCAUGUAUGUCUACCCUUAGGCAACUUAAAAAUGCCUCUUUUUCCAAGCUGUGGAGUAUUUCUCCAAGGUGUCUGACCAGAACAAUCAAACUGGCCAUGCCAUUGGGUGCAAAAAGUCUCAGCUGGCUUCUUUUAAGAACUGCUUGUUUGGGUCCUGCUUGAAGAGACUUGAGAUGUUCACCCACUUCCAAGAAGUGUGUGUGAAGUCUUGCCAAGGGAUAAAAAAAUUGGAGAAAGCAAACAAACUGAAUAAGCACAUAUCUACAGAAGAAAUGGUUGCAGCUGAGAGUGGCUGAUUCUUCUCUCUGUGAAAUGUCAAACCAAAUCCUGCAAAACAAAUUGUUAGAAAUAGCCCUGGCUAUUGCAAACUCAUAGCCUAAGCUGAUCAAAGUGUUGAGCUUCAGUCUGUAAAAUCACGAGGGAUGAUUCUGUUCCCUACUGCAGGAAAAUGUGCUGGAAGCCUGGCAAUAUCUGGUGCUUCUUAAUUUUUAUUGUAUGGCAUCUUUUGUGCUGUUAUGAAUCCUGCAUGAUCCUAGUUAAAUUUGGAAAGCUGGAGGACAGCUUUGCUGCUUUAAUAACUUCUGCUCCUCCUGUAAGAGCUUGGAUCAUACCACCUCAUAUAGCAAGAUGUUAUACAAUAUGAAGAAACAAUGCUUUGCAACAAGUGCUUGAAAUGAAUUAAUAAUCUGGAUUUCAAGGAGCCAUCCCCUCUGCUGUUUGUGAUGUAAAUGUAGCCAUGUUUGGAGCUCUGGACAAGAGGCGCUAUGAAGAAGGAGUUCUCCUCCUUCAGUGGCAGAACAGGGAGCUCUGGGUUGCUGGAGACUCUCUGGGUGCAGAGAGCAGCACAAUCCUGUUGGCUGAGCACAUUCUUUGCCCAGCAAAGACACCAGGUUAAGUGGAUUAUCUGCAGGUGUUGAGGUAAACCUCAACCUCUAAGCCUGUGGUUUCAUGAGGCAAGGUUCUUGUGGAACUACACCAUGAAAGACAGCCCUGAUUUAUCUGAGAAGGUAUAUAGAAGUAUUUAUUUAGGUAACUGGAAAACACAUCAUUGUUAAAGCCAAAGCAGUAGGUAGUAGAAGAGCAUGGAGAGAUGUUUGUGUUGGUAUGUGUGCUUCUUGUUUCCCCUAUUUAUAGCAAACAUUCUUUUUAAAUAUAUGCCCACUUAGGUAAGGACUUUUCUUGAACUAAAUGGCUUUUUUGUGCAUCGCAUGAUGCCUUUGAAACACUGCUUCUGCAUUGAAGGAUCAGAAGACUGGAAUGGAAAAAGAGGAGACUGCACACAUCCUUCUUGACAAGGGAAAGCAAAGGCAUCUCUAAAUUAGGACCUAAGGUGACACUUCUUGGUAGGGCAUUCUUGGAGAGAGGAGGAGCCAGAGGAAGACACUGCAGGUACUGUAGAAUUAAGUAAUACCAUGAUCCACUUCCAAAAUCUUUUUGACAUCACCUUACUAAAAAGUAAACUUCCAUUUUUAAAUUGCAUUCAUGGAUACUCACAAACCUUACAGCAAGUGAUUCCAAGCUAGGAAAGGAGUGAGAAAGUUCUACCUUACCUCUUUUUAAGUAUUUUGCACAGGAAAAUAUAAUUUACCUAUAAAUUUUAGAAAAGUAAGUCAUCAAUCCAUUCACCUCCCCCCCUCCUCAGACAGCAGUAGGGUGACAUCAUAUAAAGGGAAUGAACACAAUGCUGAAAGUGUCCUGCUGGUUUGUAUUAGCCUCCCUGAUCUGCACAUCCUGUGUAGCACCAGUUCAGCUUUGCCAGUUUGAAAAUAGACAGAUAGUUUGUGUGAACAAGGAGUGAACCAAGAGUUCACUGUGUGGAGAAGCUUCCCAGCACCCAGCAAACAGAGAGCAAAGCUGUUGGGAACUUUUCAAAGGUAAAUGCACAGUCAUUCCUCUUCAGACACAGCGCACUUUCUGUACAAACUUAACAUGUCCUCCUCCUUCAAAAUACUAACAUAGGAAUGAGCAGGAUGAGCGAUAAAAGAGGUUAAAAUUAUUGUAAGUAGUCUAAGUGAUGCCCUUCAUCCUGCCAGAUGUCAAAAUGCUUUCUGAAACAGAUGGAGCAACUAACCUGGGAACUAAGGAGCAAGUGGGUCUGUAGGCAAAGAAGGGAAGAAUAAACCCUGUUGUUUAGAACAAAUGGGAUAGCAUGUUCAGGCCUGAAAGCACAGACUGCUUGCAAAGUUUGGUUUUGUGGGACUUUGAUGAGGGUUGUCUGCAGCUGCUGUUACACAUGUCACCAGCAAACCCACCUAUAUCUUAUUGAUAGUUGUGAAAGCUUCAUUCUGUGAGGAUGGAUUUGAGAACCUCUGUGCUGAGAAGGGAGGGUGGGGUGGCAUUUCUUCCCUUGAUACAAAUUCAGACUCUGAUACUGCUAAUAACAGCUGUAUGUGUAACUGUGGAGCUGCUAAAGAUGAAAUGAAAGGCAACUUAAAUAUUUUUUACUUCCUGAGUCCAACACCUAUACCAUCCCUUUUGUCUAUUCAUUCUGUGUGUGUUAAAUUUGUGUAUGUUUCAAAGUAGCUAACUUAUUUUUAAAUGCUGGACAGAUGAAAGAAAAUUCUGUUUUCCCUUAUAGAACCCCUUCUUGAAUCCUUUGAUAAAUUAACUGUGUGAAAACAUAAUCUUAUCCUUAAUUUUUAAUUCUUUUUUGGAAAGCUUGAGUAACACAGUAUUUAUGUUUCUAUGAGUAAUGAAGGCAACAGCAAUUUAAUAGUAACUUAUUUAGUGUGUGUGUGUUACUUAUAUCUCCACAGUCAUCAACUGAAAUGGAGGUGAUGUUCAGCUGCUGGUGAUAAUAAAGGUAGUUGUAUCACUGUAGUUGAUCUAUGGAUGCUUUGAAAAUUAAGGUCCUAAGGAAGAGUAGAGAAAAGGAAGGAAAACACCAAACAACCUUGUGUUUGGACUGGUAUUUGCUGAAAGAUCUCAGUCCACUGGUAGGAAGCAUGUUGAGCAGGUGGCUGGCAGAGAUGGACAGACAGCUGGUUUUGUCUGGCAUGCAGGUGUUUAACUUGGCUACCUGCCGGUUAGCUGUGCCAUGCCAGAUUUUCUGAGGGAAUCACCUUGUUUAAGAAGAAGUGGCUCUUGUCCAUUCCCAUAGUGAGGUCAGUGAAUGAGGCUGUGGCUGUUUUCACUUCCUCUCUGCUCAUCUCUUUGACACAGUCCCAAAGCCCUUAUCACCUGCUGCUGGAUUUCAAUGGGACAGAAAGCAGGCUUUGCAGGUUGUGUAAUCAGCCUCCCAAGCAUGGCACUGAAAAUGGAAUUCCCACUUUCAUAGCUGGCUCUGUAGAUUUACCCCACUGAAGUUCUUCAGAAGACAAGCAUGCUGGCAAAUGCACAGUUCUGGGAGAAGGACUGCCAGCAUUACCAUGGAAACCCCCAAAAAUAAAGACUCCCAGCCUUAUGAGAGUACACCUGCAAGAGCAAGAACUGCCUAUCAAAAGGGACUUCUUGAUUAUGGGUGUCACCUAAGGACAUUUUGUGAGAACUGGAGCUUCCUGUUGUACAAAUGACAAAUUCUCCCAAAGAAGUCUGGUGCUUCUAAGAAGAGAUAUUUCCAAAAGUGCACAGGAUCUCGGGGUCAGGAAUAGCACUUCAGAGUGAAGAAAUUGUUAGAACCAACGCAAUCUAAUCUGCUCAAAAAGGACUCACGUUUGUUUCAGGAGUGAUUUUCCUUGGACAUCAGUGAUUAAUGGAAAUUCCAGAUCACUCCAGUAAAAUGCAGUCUCACAAGGAAGAACCUGCAACAUCUCAGAGAUCACAGUCUUAAAAAGGAUCCAAACCCAGUGAGCAACUGCAUUCUCCAUAAGUGAAGCCUGUCCAUCUUCUAAAAUCAUCUCAUGGGGAGGAGAUGUCCACAGUAACAGCAACCAACUAUAACAGCAACCCAGGAGAAGCUAUGGCUAAGGCUCCACAUCAGAAAAUCUCCUGCUUGUGUAAGCCCAUGAUGCAACAGUCACAGUACCUGCUGAUUUAAAUGGUGAGGAAGAUUUGGGAACAGGAGCCUAACUAUGGUGCCAAGUGAGAAUCACUGACCUCAAUGGGCCCUGCAAGUGCACCCUGAAAACUCAUCCAUUUUGUAUUUCUUCUGGCCCAGAGUGUACAAAGUAAGCAAACAGCAUGAAUCUACCUACUGAACUAUUGUCUUGUGUCAGAACUAAUAUUCUAUAGGAAUAAAUGCCAAAUAAAUUAUCACAAUAAACAUUAAGUCUAUAAAUGUGGCACUACAGCAUUUAGAUACAUAUAUUCACACUUAGUAUUGGUACCCCACUUUUUUCAGCUCAGAAAAAUGCCAUAAUGUGCAAGUUGUGCUUGUUGGCAUCAAAACUCUGGGGUUUUUUUUGACUUUGCUAUGCUAAUUACAUGAGUAGCCAGAUUUUGACAGAUACAGUGUUAAGCUGAGACCAGGGUGCAGCGUGUGCCUCCAUUUGUGUGAGCUGUACUCUCAAAAGAAAUGAUUGAAUGUUCUGACCUGUUAAAAUUACUACUGUUUUAAAACGUUACAGGAAGUCACUUUGGUGAAUUUACUAUUUGUGUAUAUUUAUUUUUUUUAUCAGCCUGUUAAAAAAUCAUGGCCUGGCUACAUUUCCCACUUUAUUUAUAAAACUGAAUCUUUCCUGAAUUCACACAGCUCAAAAGGAAAGGAACAUCUAAGGCAGUCUGGUUUCUUUCAGUAUUAAAAAAAGAAGAAGAACGUACUUAUUUAUAUAUGUAUGCAUGUACCUCACUUAAAAAUAUAAUAAGAAAGGGGAGGAAGAAUCUACAGUAACCUCGUUAAAACAAAAAUUGCACAAAACCACUUCAAACAAGAUCUUACCACAACAAAAAUCAGCGUUAUCAUCGUUAAUAACACAGUGCCUUUCAUAUGCAGAGGUAAUAAGGAGGCUGUACUGUGAUCCAUAUAAUCUCAAUAAUGUAUAAAUGAAUCAAAAAGGAUCUAAUUAGUUCAGCAGCACCAAAAACUAAUAAGUAGAAACAUCAAAAGAGCCAGCGGGACAUUCCAUUUUUUUUCAGAAUUGUCUGUUUUGUGUCUGGCAGGAGGAGGCCCCACCAUGGAGGUGACAGCACCUGGAGCUCGAGGAUGCUGCUGUGGCUGUGCCCUGCAGCUCCCAGCCCAUCCCUGCACGUCCCGCACGGAUCCUGCCCCACCGGGAUCCGCACAGGAAGGGUGGGGCGGGCUCCUCACCUCCUGUCUGCAGAUAGCACAUCCUGAACCAACACUGCCCCUUUUCCUCCUUCCACACAGCCCCGGCGGAAAAGGAGAACGGCCACUGGGGAGGCGCCUCGGCUCCCACGGACACACGCGAGGGAGGGAGACCAAGGAGAGAUGGGCAGAGACUGCACCUAGCAUGGAGCCACGGGACCUCCCUGAGCAGGGCCUGCACCCAGCACAGAGAGACUGCACUCAGCACAGAGCCAUGGAACCUUCCUGAGCAGGGACUGCACCCAGCAUGGAGCCACAGAACCUCCCUGAGCAGAGACUGCAACCAGCAUGGAGCCAUGGGACCUCCCUGAGCAGAGACUGCACCCAGCACAGAGCCACAGAACCUCCCUGAGCAGAGACUGCACCCAGCACAGAGCCACAGAACCUCCCUGAGCAGAGACUGCAUCCAGCAGAGCCACAGGACCUCCCUGGAGAUGGCCUUGGCCUCCUGCGAGUCCAUCCCGACUCCUACAGCUGCUUCUGCCCUAUGAUGGGAAAAGUUUUGUGUAUGCACACCUGAGAACCCCUUAGCAAAUACCUGUGGAGGCAUCCCAGUCAAAGGUAGAACACUGUGUGCAUAGAUGUACUUAUUAAAAUAAAUAAUUAGAAUAAUAAUAAGAAUAAUAAUUACUUAGAACCUGUGUUCUAUGUGGUGAAGUAUGGAAGUGGGAGGACUUCUGUACUUCACCACAUAGCUGUGGGCAGCCAUGCCUCUGCAGCACUCACUGCAUGGCAAGAACAUCACACCCUGCAGGAGUGCAGCCCGGGCUGAUUAUGGCAAAGAAUUGUUCACACAAUUCACUGAAGUCAGAAAAGUUCCAUUUAAAUAUAAACAGAACCUAACCCAGAGGUCUGCUGUACUUAAGGAAUUAUUUCUCUCUAACCCUGAGGAUUCAGAUGUAGCUUUUAUGUCCUCCAACAGAUGUGUCUGUCCACUACCCAGUAAUGGUUCACUCCACUUAAGUAAAAGCAUCAUAUGCAAGAGAAACAAUAAUGCUAUAAAACAAAGACCUUUCACUACUCCAGGUCCAUUCCACACCCAAAGCCCAAAGGUUUCCUUCUUCAAAGAAAUAAACAGGACAGUAUUUGUUGAGGUUUAAGCCACAGUAACAUUUUAAGGUGCCAAUAGCUUUCAACAUGGUUUGAUCUGCAGACCUAUUUAAAAACCCAAUUAUGCAAUGAAGCAGGACAGAGAAACAAAACCUCCUUUCCAGAAGAUUUGCUCUUCUAUUUAACAGAACGUAUAGAAAGCAUCAGAUCUCACAGGGCCAGGCUGACAACAUCCAUCAUUACAGCUCUGGGAACUACUGCAGCAUGCACAAAGCUCCACUCACACCUCCCAAGGAAUUCAACUGGAGGUCAGCUGCACCUCAAAAGCCAGCCAUGGUCUGCUGUAAUCUGCAACACCAAACUCAAACUGCUGUGACAGAAAUCUCUACUGAGGAGCUCCAACACAAACCUCUGAAGAAUUAAAGUCCACUCCAGCAAACCUUCACAAUCCCAAGAAGACAUAUGGCACACGCCAGGCUAACCAGCAAAGUUUUCUAAGAAAUCAUAUUGAAACUCAUAGAUUUAACACACAGAUGGCCCACAACACCUACAAGAAUUAAAAUUCAAAACCUUCUCAAGAGGUAACACCAAAUGCUGCUAAAGACAAACAAAGCCAGGCUGUGCCCCGCUGCAGCAAUCACCAGUGCUCUGCACAGCAAUCCCAGUGUAUGCAGCACUGCCCAGCUGCCCACAGUACAACUGGAACAGCUCUGUGUGCUAGGGCUAGUACUGGGAGAGGAACAGCAUUUAUGAAAAUAAAAGAACUGAAUUGAAGCCUCUAUGCUGCUGUCUAGAACUUACAGUUACGUUUGU